rnacentral:ncRNA from 1 species
CUUAUCUAGAGUGGUGGAGGGACCGGCCCUAAGAAGCCCAGCAACCAGAUAUAUUCAGGUGCUAAUUCCGUCAAUAUUUUUAUUGAAAGAUAAGG